GGGCCCGCACAAGCGGAGGAGCAUGUGGUUUAAUUCGAUGAUACGCGAGGAACCUUACCAAGGCUUAAAUGUAAUAUGACCGGUUGAGAGAUCAACCUUUUUUCGAACAGAUUACAAGGUGCUGCAUGGUUGUCGUCAGCUCGUGCCGUGAGGUGUCGGGUUAAGUCCCAUAACGAGCGCAACCCCUAUUUUUAGUUACCAGCGAGUAAUGUCGGGAACUCUAGAAAAACUGCCUGUGCAAACAGAGAGGAAGGUGGGAUGACGUCAAUCAUCACGGCCUUAUGUCUUGGGCUACACACGUGCUACAAUGGUUACUACAAUGUGAUGCCAUCUGGUGACAGGAG
rnacentral:rRNA from 1 species